rnacentral:rRNA from 1 species
AAUGACGGUACCUGAUGAAUCAGCAUCGGCUAACUCCGUGCCAGCAGCCGCGGUAAUACGGAGGAUGCAAGCGUUAUCCGGAAUUAUUGGGCGUAAAGCGUCCGUAGGUGGUUUUUCAAGUCUGCUGUCAAAGCGUGGAGCUUAACUCCAUACCGGCAGUGGAAACUGGGAGACUAGAGUGCGAUAGGGGUAAAGGGAAUUCCCAGUGUAGCGGUGAAAUGCGUAGAGAUUGGGAAGAACACCAGCGGCGAAAGCGCGUUACUGGGUCUGCACUGACACUGAGGGACGAAAGCUAGGGGAGCGAAAGGGAUUAGAU